CAAAAAGAGGCUGUGGAUUUUAUCCGUUCGCAACUUGCUACCACGUUUCAGUUAGUGCAGAAACUGCAAGAGCAGAGUGACCUCGAGGUAAAUCGAUUUAACUACUGUCUUGUAAGUUUUGUCCACUCACUGACAGUGAGCAAUGGGCUUUGCAGAAGGUUCUGAAAUCUGAGGUGUUGACUGGAGCAGGUCCUUGUGAGGAACCUUGUGCAGGAUCUCCAGAAUCGCAACAAGU